UUGAGCCUUGAUGUGUAGGAUAGGUGGGAGGCUUAGAAGUGUGGACGCCAGUCUGCAUGGAGCCGACCUUGAAAUACCACCCUUUAAUGUUUGAUGUUCUAACGUUGACCCGUAAUCCGGGUUGCGGACAGUGUCUGGUGGGUAGUUUGACUGGGGCGGUCUCCUCCUAAAGAGUAACGGAGGAGCACGAAGGUUGGCUAAUCCUGGUCGGACAUCAGGAGGUUAGUGCAAUGGCAUAAGCCAGCUUGACUGCGAGCGUGACGGCGCGAGCAGGUGCGAAAGCAGGUCAUAGUGAUCCGGUGGUUCUGAAUGGAAGGGCCAUCGCUCAACGGAUAAAAGGUACUCCGGGGAUAACAGGCUGAUACCGCCCAAGAGUUCAUAUCGACGGCGGUGUUUGGCACCUCGAUGUCGGCUCAUCACAUCCUGGGGCUGAAGUAGGUCCCAAGGGUAUGGCUGUUCGCCAUUUAAAGUGGUACGCGAGCUGGGUUUAGAACGUCGUGAGACAGUUCGGUCCCUAUCUGCCGUGGGCGCUGGAGAACUGAGGGGGGCUGCUCCUAGUACGAGAGGACCGGAGUGGACGCAUCACUGGUGUUCGGGUUGUCAUGCCAAUGGCACUGCCCGGUAGCUAAAUGCGGAAGAGAUAAGUGCUGAAAGCAUCUAAGCACGAAACUUGCCCCGAGAUGAGUUCUCCCUGACCCUUUAAGGGUCCUGAAGGAACGUUGAAGACGACGACGUUGAUAGGCCGGGUGUGUAAGCGCAGCGAUGCGUUGAGCUAACCGGUACUAAUGAACCGUGAGGCUUAACCUUACAACGCCGAAG
rnacentral:rRNA from 1 species